GCAAACUUGGUCAUUUAGAGGAAGUAAAAGUCGUAACAAGGUUUCCGUAGGUGAACCUGCGGAAGGAUCAUUACCGAGUAUGCGGUCUUCGGACCCGCUACCCGCCCUUUGUCAUUUGCUGGACGAGGUCGCUCUCGGGCGGCCUCCGACCACACUUCCCGGGAAGCGUUACGCCCCCACCAGGUCAGUCCUGGGCGGGGUGUGACCGCCCGGGGUCUUUUCUCAAACCCUUGUGAGAAUCUGAAGUCUGAGAUGAAAACAAAACAAAGCAAAACUUUCAACAACGGAUCUCUUGGCUCUGGCAUCGAUGAAGAACGCAGC
rnacentral:misc_RNA from 1 species